UGACUGCGUACCUUUUGUAUAAUGGGUCAGCGACUUAUAUUCUGUAGCAAGGUUAACCGAAUAGGGGAGCCGAAGGGAAACCGAGUCUUAACUGGGCGUUAAGUUGCAGGGUAUAGACCCGAAACCCGGUGAUCUAGCCAUGGGCAGGUUGAAGGUUGGGUAACACUAACUGGAGGACCGAACCGACUAAUGUUGAAAAAUUAGCGGAUGACUUGUGGCUGGGGGUGAAAGGCCAAUCAAACCGGGAGAUAGCUGGUUCUCCCCGAAAGCUAUUUAGGUAGCGCCUCGUGAAUUCAUCUCCGGGGGUAGAGCACUGUUUCGGCAAGGGGGUCAUCCCGACUUACCAACCCGAUGCAAACUGCGAAUACCGGAGAAUGUUAUCACGGGAGACACACGGCGGGUGCUAACGUCCGUCGUGAAGAGGGAAACAACCCAGACCGCCAGCUAAGGUCCCAAAGUCAUGGUUAAGUGGGAAACGAUGUGGGAAGGCCCAGACAGCCAGGAUGUUGGCUUAGAAGCAGCCAUCAUUUAAAGAAAGCGUAAUAGCUCACUGGUCGAGUCGGCCUGCGCGGAAGAUGUAACGGGGCUAAACCAUGCACCGAAGCUGCGGCAGCGACGCUGAUGCGUUGUUGGGUA
rnacentral:rRNA from 1 species